rnacentral:rRNA from 1 species
ACGUGAAACCGUUCAGGGGUAAACCAGAAACCCGAAAGAUCGAAUGGGGAGAUUCAUCGUCAGCGGGGUUGGCUUUCGCGCGGGUGCGAUGCUCGGUCGGUGGCUUUCGGGUCGUCGAUCGUUGCACGCAUUCGCGUGGAUGUGUCCGGCCACGUCGGCGUGCACUUCUCCCCUAGUAGAACGUCGCGACCCGCUGGGUGUUGGUCUACGGGCCGUGUCUUUAGACUGUCGCGAGCGCUUCGGCGUUCGUUGGCAGAGGCGCGGAUUCCCGACCAACUGCCCGGCGGUACACGCACGGUAUCGAGCCGCACAAUCGAACUGCGUUCCGACCCGUCGCAAGCUCGCUCAUGCCCUUUGGAGGUGCGGACCCAGUGCCGUCCCCGAAGCUGAGCAGUUGCUGGCCGACGGUGCUCUCGAACAGGCUCACACACUUUGAAUUUGUAUUCACGGUACCGGUCGGCGACGCUAUUGCUUUGGGUACUUUCAGGACCCGUCUUGAAACACGGACCAAGGAGUCUAACAUGUGCGCGAGUCAUUGGGAUCAUUUGAAACCCAAAGGCGCAUUGAAAGAGAAGGUCGGCCUCGCGCCGACCGAGGGAGGAUGGGCCGCGUCUCGAUGCGGCCCCGCACUCCCGGGGCGUCUCGUACUCAUUGCGAGUUGAGGCGCACCCAGAGCGUACACGUUGGGACCCGAAAGAUGGUGAACUAUGCCUGGUCAGGACGAAGUCAGGGGAAACCCUGAUGGAGGUCCGUAGCGAUUCUGACGUGCAAAUCGAUCGUCGGAACUGGGUAUAGGGGCGAAAGACUAAUCGAACCAUCUAGU